UACGUAGGGUGCGAGCGUUGUCCGGAAUUAUUGGGCGUAAAGGGCUCGUAGGCGGUCUGUCACGUCGGGGGUGAAAACUCAGGGCUUAACCCUGAGCCUGCUUCCGAUACGGGCAGACUAGAGGUAUGCAGGGGAGAACGGAAUUCCUGGUGUAGCGGUGAAAUGCGCAGAUAUCAGGAGGAACACCGGUGGCGAAGGCGGUUCUCUGGGCAUUACCUGACGCUGAGGAGCGAAAGUGUGGGGAGCGAACAGG
rnacentral:rRNA from 1 species